GGGUAAUCUGAGUGAUAUGGCGACAUGAAGUGAUUUUUCUUAUCCGAGGUUGUACACGAAAUACAUAUUGGAUCCAAAAAUUGUCUCGCCUUUCCGCCAGCCAAACAAAUAUUUGUCGUACGUAUGCGUAUACGUGCUUUGCAGUAUAUAUAUAUAUGGAACAGUGGAAAAAUUAUUAAGUCGUCAAUGAAGAAAGGUCUCUUUCAAUUUGUACGACAACAAAUAUAAGCUCGCUAUUUUAAACACAUCGACACGCAUAUUUUAGUACUUAUAUUAAUACGAAAUAUUAUUAAUUCAACAUGCCGAAGGACAUAAGAUUUUUAUCUAAAAGACGAAAGAAUCAAUUAAUCAAUUGUCAAUAUAAUUUACAUAAAAAUUUA